rnacentral:pre_miRNA from 1 species
GAAGAUGAGUAAAAUUAAGGCGAGAUGAGGUCUUUGGACAGUUAAUUAAUGACCGAUGACCUACCGCCUCAAUUUAACUUGCUCUAAAUUCGACAGAGAGAUUUU